rnacentral:rRNA from 1 species
UACAGAGGUCCCAAGCGUUGUUCGGAUUCACUGGGCGUAAAGGGUGCGUAGGUGGUGGGGUAAGUCGGAUGUGAAAGCUCGGAGCUUAACUCCGAAAUUGCAUUGGAAACUACCCUGCUAGAGGGGUCGGAGGGGGGACUGGAAUACUUGGUGUAGCAGUGAAAUGCGUAGAUAUCAAGUGGAACACCAGUGGCGAAGGCGAGUCCCUGGACGACUCCUGACACUGAGGCACGAAAGCUAGGGGAGCAAACAGG